rnacentral:rRNA from 1 species
AUUGAACGCUGGCGGCAUGCCUUACACAUGCAAGUCGAACGGUAACAGAUCUUCGGAUGCUGACGAGUGGCGAACGGGUGAGUAAUACAUCAGAACGUGCCUAGUAGUGGGGGAUAACUACUCGAAAGAGUGGCUAAUACCGCAUGAGGUCUACGGAUGAAAGCAGGGGAUUGCAAGACCUUGUGCUACUAGAGCGGCCGAUGGCAGAUUAGGUAGUUGGUGGGAUAAAAGCUUACCAAGCCGACGAUCUGUAGCUGGUCUGAGAGGACGAUCAGCCACACUGGGACUGAGACACGGCCCAGACUCCUACGGGAGGCAGCAGUGGGGAAUUUUGGACAAUGGGCGCAAGCCUGAUCCAGCAAUGCCGCGUGCAGGAUGAAGGCCUUCGGGUUGUAAACUGCCUUUGUACGGAACGAAAAGCCCUGGGUUAAUACCCUGGGGUCAUGACGGUACCGUAAGAAUAAGCACCGGCUAACUACGUGCCAGCCGCCGCAGAAUAC